rnacentral:lncRNA from 1 species
CCAACAUCUUUUAAGAUAGGAUAAAUGACAACAUCUUCUAUAAAUGUUGUUUGCCCAAGUAUCCUAUCUUUCUCUCUCUCAACAAGUCCAAAGCCUGCCUGGCCUCAUGAAUACUUAAUAAAGAAAUGAAGACUCAAUAAAUAGGACUAUAGAUAAACGCUAAAGGGGAUCAAUCACCCCAUAGUUUUGUGCCCCCAGUUAAUUGACCCUGUCUGAUCAGUUUGUCCUUCAACUUUAUAUCCAGAGGUAUGAAAAUUUGCAGAAUAUAUGCAAGUAAAU